UGAAAGCAACACAGGUCUCUAUGAGAGCAACACAGGUCAUUUUGAAAGCAACACAGGUCACUUUGAAAGCAACAUGCAUAUGAAAGCAACACAGGUCACUUUGAUGGCAACAUGAACAGGAAAGCAACACCGGUCACUACAUCUUGAUCUAAUAAAUCUGGAAUGCUCAAAAAUAUAUUUGACCGAAAAAGUUCAACAAACCGACCCUUCAGAGUCAUUUCCUGUACUCAUAAAUGUAUUUAUCAAAACUUACGGGGGUAUUAUUGGGAGCAACAUAUGAUUUCAGUGGAAAUCAAAUCCAAUAGCAUGCUUACCUCACAUUUCACAAAAUGUGCCCCCCAGCUAUGCUCUUGUUUUGAAACGAGCCUCACAACAAGUUCUUCACCUCUACAUUCAGGACAGGGGAUCAACGGAAGAUGCUUAUCCAGAUACGCCACAUCAAUAUCAUCCACCGUAAGAUGCUUGGUCGUCUUAGACUUGUUCGGCGUACCAAGGGAGCUUCCCUGCGACAUCCUCCCUGAACACGUCGGCUUACACUUGUUCGGCAUAGCAAGGGAGCUCCCCUGCGACAUCUUCCCUGACCACGUCCACGUCAAUCUCACACCUUCGAUUCAGGGUCAGUGGCAGAGCUAAGAAUCAGUAUCUGAGCAUUCGUUGUGAAAAAAUAACAGAAGUUAUGCAAUGUAAUAGCAAAUGUGUGAGAUUGAGCGAAUGACCAUACAUCCACAAUCUACUACCAAGAGAGGGCAGAUCCAAAUCAUCAUCUACACCGUUCUAUCACAAAAUCUGAAUGUCAAAUCCUUCCGAUGUUGAGCACCAACGACAUUGAGCGCACCACCGAUACACUAAUCCCACCUAUCCAACACUAAUUAGCACCGUACACCACACGCCCCCCCUGAAAAAGAAACCCUGCCCUCUCCCCCGCUAUGGAACAAAACCCGCAUGAUCUCUUCCUCCGCCUUGCACUCAUCUCCCUCCUCCAUGCCACCACUCGCACAGCACAAACGCGCCGCUAUCCACCCACUCCGGGCACUUAUAAUUUAAAGAAUAUAUACCCGUAAAAGUAAUAGAUAAUCUAGAAAUGAAUCACAAUAACACAAAUGGUCACACAAUAACAAAAAUGUUUUCUUAUGAUAACAUAACACAAAUUAUAAGCAAUGCUUCAGCCUCAAAUAUGAUAGUUCCAAACAAUAUUUGAGCCUCAAAUAUUCAUAGAUACAACAAAUAUGAUAGUUCCAAACGGUACAUAAACUCAAAUAUGAUAGUACCAAACGGUACAUAAACUCAAAUAUGAGAGUUCCAAACAAGACAAAGAAUCAAAUAUGAUAGUUCCAAACAAGACAUAUUUUUAUGACCGGUUUGGUCUAUAACCGGAAGAGGCCCACCGGGCAUUAGUAUUAGGCGCUUGACCCACAAGUUAUCUUAGGCAAGUUAUUUUUGGCAAGUUAUUUUAGGCUAAAGUUAUAAAUACUAGUUGUAAGACAUCGUUUGAGAUCAAGCAAUAAAGAUAUUAUCAUCUUCUGUUGCCAGGCUCCCUGAGGAGCCGGAACCCUAGCCGACACCAGCCAACCGCUGCCGCCCCUAAACCCUAGCCGCGACGGCGCCCACUCGCCGGUGCGCCCGCUCCAGCCCUCGUCCACCUCCACCUCAUCCCUACAACCUACGUAACCGCGCUGGUAGGAACCCAAGUCCUACCAAUUUGGUAUCAGGUACCCGGGUUUCGACCAUGUCUUCGCCACCUCCAAUUCCGCCACCGCCGCCAUCACCGCCGCUGCCCGUCAACUCCACCACUGCCACUACCGCCAACUCCUCCACCGCCGCCGCUUCCGUGCCGGGCGUCACGGCUUCGCUCUCGGCUGGCGCCACGGCGUCGCUCUCGGCGCCGACCCUCCCGGCGACCGGCACCGCGCCAGGCCACAGGCGGCAACCGACCCCCGUCCAACAUACGCCGCCGCCGUCACCUCCCCCGCAGCCGCAGCAGUUCACACAGGAGGCAAUGGCCGACGUCCUCAACGACCUAGUCGCCGCGGUCCAGGGCAUCCACCUCUACCUUGCAAGUCCGUACGGGCCGCCUCCACCACUCCAUCCAGCCAUGGCCGCAGGUCCGCAGGCGCUGCCGUGGUACUCGAUACCAGGGGCCAUCACCGGAGGCUACCCGGCGCUCCAUGCCCCGGCGGCCGCACCGCCGCCUUGGCCGGAGUGGCCGCCGCCGCUCGCGACGGCAACCGCGCCACUCGUCGCCACCACGGGGCCGCAGUGGCCCACCUGGACCGCGCCGGCUGCGCCGUCUCCCGCCGCGCCGUCACUCCCAGUGGCCACGGAGCAGGGUCCUCCACCGCCCCAUCCCAGCCCUAACUUGGGCUAGUCGUCGCCAAGCGGGCUUCCGAUCCAGGAGGUCCGCUUUUCGUCAUUGCCAUCGCCACUCCCGACUGGCUUCACGGGCCGCCAUCGGCCUACCCGGGGGCCCGUCCGCCGUUCGGUUUCCCGGUGCAGCCCGAGGCGUCGGCGCCACCGGGAACUACGCCGGGCCUUCCACCAUGGACCGCGCACCAUCAUCCACCCUACGCACCGCCGAGACAGUGGGCCAGGGCGCGCCACACCAGCAGCCGCCCCGGUUCGCUAAGAUCGACUUCGCCACAUACGACGGCUCCAACGACCCGCCUAACUGGCUCAACCAGUGUGACCAGUUCUUUCGCGGACAGCGCACACCCGCGUCGGAGCAUACUUGGCUGGCUUCCUACCAUCUCCGCGGGACCGCCCAGACAUGGUACUACGCCCUCGAGCAGGACGAGGGUGACAUGCCCCCAUGGGAUCGUUUUCGAGAGUUGUGCCUUCUUCGUUUCGGACCACCGGUCCGCGGGAGCCGCUUGGCCGAGUUGGGCCGCCUGCCGUUCACCUCCACGGUGCAGGACUUCGCCGACCGCUUCCAUGCCCUGGGGUGCCAUGCGCCCGGUGUGACGGCCUUACAGCGGGCAGAGCUUUUCAUCGGCGGCCUUCCCGACCACAUCCACGUGGAUGUCGAGAUGAAGGGGCCCCAAGACCUCCAGACGGCCAUGUACUAUGCCCGAGCGUUCGAGCAGCGCGCCCAGGCCUUAAAACGUCCAUCCGCGCCACGUGGGGGCCGACAGCUUCCCCGGUCGUCUCCGGCAGCACCGGCGUCGUCCACAGCCGCCCCGGCACCCACCCCGGCACCGACGUGGCUAUUCAGGCGCCUCACUCAGGCGAAACAGCUGGAACGCCGGCGCCUGGGCUUGUGCUUCAACUGUGAUGCGCCCUAUGCACCGGGCCAUGUCUGUCCCCGCCUCUUCUACUUGGAGACGACAGACGAGAUUGAGGAGGACACACUGGAGGAUGGCCUCGGCGCUCCAGCCCUUGCGGAGCCCACAGCGGCACCCGUGGCCGCCCCGGCCACCGCCCUCAUGGUGUCCCUACACGCGCUGGCCGACAUCCGUGAUGAACGGACAAUGCUCUUACCGGUCAUGAUCGAGGGCGAGCGCCUGGUGGCCCUCGUGGAUACAGGGUCCACGCAUAACUUCCUGCCGGAGACCACCAUGCGGCGCCUUGCAUUACAGCCAACCGGUGGUGAGCAGUUGCGAGUCACAGUCGCUAAUGGCGACCGUCUCCGCUGCCACGGGCUCGCCCGCGACGUGCCCAUCACUAUCGGCGACGAGCACUUCACUGUCACCUGCGCCGGCAUCAACUUCGGCUGCUUCGACUUCAUCCUCGGCGUCGACUUCCUGUGCACUCUUGGUCCUAUUCUAUGGGAUUUCGACGCGCCGACGAUGACCUUCUGGCGGUUGGGCCGCCGCAUUCGGUGGGACGGCAUUGGGGAUGCCUCCCCAACCACUCCGCUCUAGCUGGCCGCGACCACCGCCACGGCCGAGCACCCACUAUUGGAGAGCCUCCUCCAAUAGCACGCGGACAUCUUCACCGAGCCACAGGGGUUGCCGCCCGCCCACACGUACGAUCACCGUAUACAUCUUCUGCCAGGCUCCACGCCGGUGGCGGUACGGCCUUACCGCUACCCACAGUUGCAGAAGGAUGAGUUGGAGCGGCAGUGUGCGCUCAUGCUCGCGACAGGCAUCAUCCGGCUCUCCACUUCGCCAUUUACCGCACCGGUGCUUCUCGUCCGGAAGUCAGACGACACAUGGCGUUUCUGCAUCGACUACCGUGCCCUUAAUGCUGUCACACUUAAGGACAAGUUCCCUAUUCCGAUGGUCGACGAGCUCCUCGAUGAGCUCCAUGGGGCGCGCUUCUUCACCAAACUCGACCUCCGGUCGGGUACCACCAGGUGCGCAUGCACCCGGAUGACAUCGCCAAGACGGCGUUUCGGACUCAUCACGGCCACUUCGAGUUCUUGGUGAUGCCCUUUGGCCUCACCAACGCCCCGGCGACCUUCCAGGCUCUGAUGAACAACGUCCUCAGGCCCUACUUAUGCCGGUUUGUGCUUGUUUUCUUUGAUGAUAUUCUAAUCUACAGUGCGUCUUGGGCCGAGCACCUCCAGCACAUCGCCAUCGUCUUCAACGAGCUUCGAGCGCACCACCUCCACCUUAAGCGCUGGAAGUGCUUGUUCGGGACGCCUUCAGUGGCCUACUUGGGCCAUGUCAUCUCGGCCGACGGGGUGGCUAUGGACGCCGACAAGGUGGCAGCCGUCUCCGCAUGGCCGACGCCUCACUCGCCGCGGGCUCUCCGCGGGUUCCUCGGCCUCGCCGGCUACUACCGGAAAUUUAUCCGGGAGUUCGCGCUCAUCGCGGCACCCCUCAUGCGGUUGCUUCGCCGCUACGCUUUCGCCUGGGACGACGAGGCGACGAUGGCGUUCGAGGCCCUCAAGGGGGCCCUCAUGACGGGCCCCGUCCUCCAGAUGCCCGACUUCGACCGCCCGUUUGUGGUGGACUGUGACGCCUCGGGCGCAGGGUUCGGCGCCGUGCUUCAUCAGGGCGAUGGGCCCCUUGCCUUCUUCAGCCGGCCUUUCGCUCCGCGUCAUCUUAAGCUGGCGGCCUAUGAGCGGGAGCACAUUGGCCUUGUACAGGCCGUUCGUCAUUGGCGGCCGUACUUGUGGGGACGGUCCUUCCAGAUUCGCACCGACCACUAUAGCAUGAAGUUUUUGCUGGACCAACGGCUGUCGACCGUGCCGCGGCACCAGUGGAUCAGCAAGCUCUUCGGCUUCGACUUCUCCAUCGAGUAUCGGCCGGGCCGCCUUAACACCGUGGCCGACGCGCUGUCUCGUCGCGACUCCGACCUUGCUUCCUCCGCCGACGAGUCUGCCGGGGCGGCCCUCUGCAUCCGCUUCGGGCCGACAUUCGGCCUCUUCGCCGACAUUCGCCGCGCCACUGCGACGGCCGACGACGCCGUCCAUCUUCAGCAGCAGCUCACGGCCGGCGACCUGGAGGAGCCUUGGCGCUUCUCUGACGGACUGCUCCUACAUGGGCGCCGAGUCUUUGUUCCGGCGCAGGAUGAUCUUCGUCACCAGGUGUUACAACUCGCCCACUCGGCGGGUCAUGAGGGUAUGCAGAAAACCCUCCAUCGUCUUCACGCCGACUUCUACAUCCCUGGCGAUCGCGCCCUGUUCCGCGACUGGGUUCAGUCUUGUCAGACAUGCCAGCGCAACAAGACAGAGACCCUCAGGCCGGCCGGGUUACUCCAGCCCUUGGAGGUGCCAUCUCAGGUCUGGGCGGAUAUAUCCAUGGACUUCAUUGAGGGCCUUCCCAAGGUGGGCGGCAAGUCGGUCAUCCUCACGGUGGUCGACCGUUUCUCCAAGUACGCCCACUUCAUAGCGCUUGGCCAUCCAUACACGGCGGCGUCCGUGGCCCGGGCCUUCUUCGACGGCAUCGUCCGUCUACACUGGUUCCCUGCUUCGAUCAUCAGUGAUCGAGACCCAAUGUUCACGGGCCAUGUCUGGCGCGACCUCUUCAGGAUGGCGGGUGUCCAACUCCGCCUGAGUAUGGCGUUCCAUCCUCAGACGGACCGUCAGUCCGAGGUGGUUAACAAGGUCAUUGCCAUGUAUUUGCGUUGUGUGACAGGUGAUCGGCCUCGCGCUUGGGUGGACUGGCUCUCUUGGGCGGAGUACUGCUAUAAUACCUCUUAUCACUCCGCCCUGCGCGCUAUGCCAUUUGAGGUGGUCUAUGGUCGACCACCCCCGCCUAUACUUCCGGUGGAUCCGGAGACAGCCCGGACGGAGGUUGCAGGUGACCUCAUCCGCACUCGUGACGAGAUGCUUGCUGAGGUUCGUCAGCGUCUCCUUCAAGCCCAGUAGCUGGCCAAGCACUACUAUGACGAUAAUCAUCGUGAGGCGGAGUUCGCGGUGGGUGAUUGGGUGUGGCUGCGUCUUCUCCACUGCUCUACGCAGUCACUCGACCCGCGCGCGAAGCGCAAGCUCGACCCUCGUUACGACGGGCCCUUCCCUAUCUUGGAGCGCAUUGGGAAGGUGGCCUAUCGUCUUCAGCUUCCAGCACGCGCUUGCAUGCACGAUGUCUUCCAUGUGGGGCUGCUCAAGCCUUUCCGUGGCGAGCCACCGGCGGCUCUUCCGGUGCUUCCUCCCAUCGCCGAUGGUCGCAUUCUUCCAGAGCCGACAAAGGUGUUGCAGGCGCAGCUCCGUCGUGGCGUCUGGUUCAUCCUCGUUCAGUGGGCAGGCCUUCCGGAGGAGGAGGCUACUUGGGAGCAGCGUGAAGAAUUCUGCCAACACUAUCCAGACUUUCAGCUCAAGGACGAGCUGUUUGCGCAGGCGGGGAGAGAUGUUAUGACUGGUUUGGUCUAUAACCGGAAGAAGCCCACCUGGCGUUAGUACAAGGGGCUUGACCCACAAGUUAUCUUAGACAAGUUAUUUUAGGCAAGUUAUCUUAGGCUAAAGUUAUAAAUACUAGUUGUAAGACAUCGUUUGAGAUCAAGCAAUAAAGAUAUUAUCAUCUUCUGUUGCCCUGCUCCCUGAGGAGCCGGAACCCUAGCCGACACCAGCCAACCGCCACGCCCCUAAACCAUAGCCGCGACGGCGCCCACUCGCUGGUGCGCCUGCUCUAGCCCUCGUCCACCUCCACCUCAUCCCUACAACCUACGUAACCGCGCUGGUAGGAACCCUAGUCCUACCACAUAUACUCAAAUAUGAUAGUUCCAAACAAUAUUUCCUAUGCUUAUGCUUGUUCUCAUCAUCAAUAAAACUGCAUAGGUCCCCUGGUCACCUAGCUAAUGCAAGAGCACAUGUUUCAGCAAACAAUUUAGUCGAAACAAUUAUUUUUCCUCUUCCUUCUUUUAUUUUCUUCAGUUAUCCACUCAACCAACUACAACCGAUCCGACAUUGAGCUGUAAAGUUCACUUAUCUAGAUGUAAAACAUGGCAACAAGACACCACAUGCAAAUUUGAGGGGAUUUUGGACACAUACCUAGAAUCAGCCAG
rnacentral:lncRNA from 1 species